AACGCGAAGAACCUUACCAGGUCUUGACAUCCUUUGACAAUCCUAGAGAUAGGACUUUCCCUUCGGGGACAAAGUGACAGGUGGUGCAUGGUUGUCGUCAGCUCGUGUCGUGAGAUGUUGGGUUAAGUCCCGCAACGAGCGCAACCCCUGUGGUUAGUUGCCAUCAUUCAGUUGGGCACUCUAAGCAGACUGCCGUGGAUAACACGGAGGAAGGUGGGGACGACGUCAAAUCAUCAUGCCCCUUAUGACCUGGGCUACACACGUGCUACAAUGGCCACUACAGAGAGCAGCGAGUCCGUAAGGCGGAGCCAAUCUCAUAAAAGUGGUCCCAGUUCGGAUUGUGGGCUGCAACCCGCCCACAUGAAGUCGGAGUUGCUAGUAAUCGCGGAUCAGCAUGCCGCGGUG
rnacentral:rRNA from 1 species